rnacentral:lncRNA from 1 species
AUCUGGUAACUAUUGUGACAGAGGGUCUACACUCUGGGCAGAGUGACAGGCUGAAGAGUUGAUGGAUCUGCUCACCUCCAUGGGGGAGGGGUCCCAGGAGGUCUGGAAUGUUGAGAAACCAGAAGAUUCUGGCUGGGAUUUCAGUUGAGAUCUCUCAACCUUGAGAAGCCUAGGAGGAGAGGUCUGGCCAAGCCUUUCUCCUGGGAUAUACCCAUCUCUUUCCUUUUCUGGCAACUGGACAUUCUCCCCACCCCCCCUCCAAUUCCCAAAUGAAGGAACAUCUGAAGAAGACAUUUAAGCAUCUGUAAAAACUUUACCUCACAGCUCCUGGUGCCCUGGUGGCCAGGGGCCAAAGACCAGGAAAUUGAACAACAGUGGACACAGUUGUUUUCCUUGGAUCUUCCAAUGAGGGGCAGGUUUCUCCAAUCCGAGUCUAUCUUCAUGGAUGUCAGUGAACCAUGAAUCACAAGAUAAUAUGCUAGUUGAUUUUGCUGAACCAUCGUUUGCUUGUUUGUGAGACAUCAGGAGACAGUUCUAGUCACUGGGGAGAGUCCAUACUCAAGCUUACCCCUACAGUUCGUUCAUCUCCAUUAAGCACAAGUGACUUCAGAGCAUCCACUAAUGAUUAGCCUGGAAGAAAUUAUUUGAAGUACAAAAUGAAAUCUUCAGUUUAAUGAGGAUCUCAUACGGUGGGAAUAGAAGUUUGGGAGAAAUCCCUAUAUACCUGCUGGAGAUAAGAAGGUUCUUUGGACCAAGCCGCUGGCAGUCUGCUGCCAAAGCUGUGAUUAAAGCACCCUGA